GACAGAGAUUAGGAAAUUAGAGAUGAAACUGGAAAAGAAAAGAUCUUCCUCUAUGGGGAAAAUUCUGAACAAACUUAGAUCAGCUCAGACGAAAGCCGAGGAAAUGCGAAAUGCAGUGGCUGAUAGACGAACCAACCGGGUAGCAGCGACUGCCAAAAACACCAAGUUCUUCUGCAAGAGUGGUCGUUUAAGCUCCCUGACUGGCUGCUUUGCUUGCCACACUAGCCCUCUGUAAUGUGAACCUCGCUAAAAUGAAGCCUUCGCCAAUUAACAAACAAUAGGUGGAUGACUGCGAAAGGAACUUCAACAUGGAUAUCAAGAUUCAUUAUUUAGGUUAAACA